rnacentral:rRNA from 1 species
AGUCGANCGGCAGCACGGAGCUUGCUCUGGUGGCGAGUGGCGAACGGGUGAGUAAUGCGUCGGAACGUAUCCAAUAAUGGGGGAUAACGCAGCGAAAGCUGUGCUAAUACCGCAUACGCCCUCCGGGGGAAAGCAGGGGAUCUUCGGACCUUGCGUUAAUGGAGCGGCCGACGUCUGAUUAGCUAGUUGGUAGGGUAAAGGCCUACCAAGGCGACGAUCAGUAGCUGGUCUGAGAGGAUGAUCAGCCACACUGGGACUGAGACACGGCCCAGACUCCUACGGGAGGCAGCAGUGGGGAAUUUUGGACAAUGGGCGCAAGCCUGAUCCAGCCAUUCCGCGUGAGUGAAGAAGGCCUUCGGGUUGUAAAGCUCUUUCAGGAGGGAAGAAACGAUUGUGGCUAAUACCCAUGAUUAAUGACGGUACCUUCAGAAGAAGCACCGGCUAACUACGUGCCAGCAGCCGCGGUAAUACGUAGGGUGCGAGCGUUAAUCGGAAUUACUGGGCGUAAAGCGUGCGCAGGCGGUUUUUCAAGUCUGAUGUGAAAUCCCCGGGCUUAACCUGGGAACUGCGUUGGAAACUGAAAGACUAGAGUGCGGCAGAGGGGGGUAGAAUUCCACGUGUAGCAGUGAAAUGCGUAGAUAUGUGGAGGAAUACCGAUGGCGAAGGCAGCCCCCUGGGUCGACACUGACGCUCAUGCACGAAAGCGUGGGUAGCAAACAGGAUUAGAUACCCUGGUAGUCCACGCCCUAAACGAUGUCAACUAGUUGUUGGGGAGGGAGACCUCCUUAGUAACGCAGCUAACGCGUGAAGUUGACCGCCUGGGGAGUACGGUCGCAAGAUUAAAACUCAAAGGAAUUGACGGGGGCCCGCACAAGCGGUGGAUUAUGUGGAUUAAUUCGAUGCANCGCGAAAAACNUUAUCUACC